AGGGAUUGCCCCAGUAACGGCGAGUGAAGCGGCAAUAGCUCAAAUUUGAAAUCUGGCUCUUUUAGGGUCCGAGUUGUAAUUUGCAGAGGGCGCUUUGGCGUUGGCAGCGGUCCAAGUUCUUUGGAACAGGACGUCACAGAGGGUGAGAAUCCCGUACGUGGUCGCUAUCCUUCGCCGUGUAAAGCCCCUUCGACGAGUCGAGUUGUUUGGGAAUGCAGCUCUAAAUGGGAGGUAAAUUUCUUCUAAAGCUAAAUACUGGCCAGAGACCGAUAGCGCACAAGUAGAGUGAUCGAAAGAUGAAAAGCACUUUGGAAAGAGAGUCAAAUAGCACGUGAAAUUGUUGAAAGGGAAGCGCUUGCAGCCAGACUUGCCUGUAGUUGCUUAUCCAGACUUUUGUCUGGUGCACUCUUCUGCGGGCAGGCCAGCAUCAGUUUGGGCGGUUAGAUAAAGGUCUCUGUCAUGUACCUCUCUUCGGGGAGGCCUUAUAGGGGAGACGACAUGUAACCAGCCUGGACUGAGGUCCGCGCAUCUGCUAGGAUGCUGGCGUAAUGGCUGUAAGCGGCCCGUCUUGAAACACGGACCAAGGAGUCUAACAUCUAUGCGAGUGUUUGGGUGUCAAGCCCAGACGCGUAAUGAAAGUGAACGGAGGUAAGAACCCUUUGGGUGCAUUAUCGACCGAUCCUGAUGUCUUCGGAAGGAUUUGAGUAAGAGCAUGGCUGUUGGGACCCGAAAGAUGGUGAACUAUGCUUGAAUAGGGUGAAGCCAGAGGAAACUCUGGUGGAGGCUCGCAGCGGUUCUGACGUGCAAAUCGAUCGUCAAAUUUGGGCAUAGGGGCGAAAGACUAAUCGAACUAUCUAGUAGCUGGUUCCUGCCGAGUCUC
rnacentral:rRNA from 15 species